rnacentral:rRNA from 1 species
UACGAAGGGGGCUAGCGUUGCUCGGAUUGACUGGGCGUAAAGGGCGCGUAGGCGGUUCGUACAGUCAGACGUGAAAUUCCUGGGCUCAACCUGGGGGCUGCGUUUGAUACGUGCGGACUUGAGUGCGGAAGAGGGUCGUGGAAUUCCCAGUGUAGAGGUGAAAUUCGUAGAUAUUGGGAAGAACACCGGUGGCGAAGGCGGCGACCUGGUCCUUGACUGACGCUGAGGCGCGAAAGCGUGGGGAGCGAACAGG